rnacentral:rRNA from 1 species
UGGGGAAUAUUGCACAAUGGAGGGAACUCUGAUGCAGCGACGCCGCGUGAACGAAGAAGGCUUUCGAGUCGUAAAGUUCUUUUAUAUGGGAAGAUAAUGACGGUACCAUAAGAAAAAGCCCCGGCUAACUACGUGCCAGCAGCCGCGGUAAUACGUAGGGGGCUAGCGUUGUCCGGAAUCACUGGGCGUAAAGGGUUCGCAGGCGGAAAUGCAAGUCAGGUGUAAAAGGCAGUAGCUUAACUACUGUAAGCAUUUGAAACUGCAUAUCUUGAGAAGAGUAGAGGUAAGUGGAAUUUUUAGUGUAGCGGUGAAAUGCGUAGAUAUUAAAAAGAAUACCGGUGGCGAAGGCGACUUACUGGGCUCAUUCUGACGCAGAGGAACGAAAGCGUGGGUAGCAAACAGG